CAAAUGUAUCGUUCAGACGUGUAAAGAGCUCUCGAGUUACUGGCAAAGCUUAAUCUUAAAACUGUUGUAAGUAAAGCAUUCAUUUGUUACACCACUUCUUUAAUUGUUUUCCGUCAACGGGAAGAAAGAUAAGGGAAGGGGAAGCAAGGUCCCGCAGCCCUUUCGUCCCCGGCCUGUUCGCGCAGCACCUCUCGGGGUCCAACCACCCUCUGUCAGGUUACCUCCAGCUCACCAGGGCUACACCAGUUUGUGCAGGAAAGCAGUCUGCCUCACCGGUGAUAGGGUGGAGCAGUACCUCGAGUGACCAGAAUCAGACAGACUUCCUGCCGGGGUAGAUUCCUCCCCAGAAAUAAGGAAGUGGCAAUGCGGGGCACCAGUGGCACCGAAUAACGCAGCAGCUGGAAAGAUGUAUUCCAUCCACAGCGGCACUCCUUCCGUCACGCUCACUUCCGCCUGUGCCGCCGGUAAGUUUUCCCCAGGUUCUCCUCCUGUGAAGGAGGCACUGGGAGCCUCUUCACAGUCCCUUCCUGCCGGACUCCUACGACUACAUCCUGACAGCACUGAAGUCGGUCGCAGGAGCCGGCAGCCCCAAGCACAGGCAGCAGCAGAACUGCUACCUCUGUACUGCAAUGAGCUGUAUCUACCUUCCAGUCUGUAACAAAAUGCUCCUUGUUCCAUGGGAAAGGCCUGAAGUUAUCAAGUACUCAGCCACUUCUCUCAUGCAAAAAGCGAUGGUGUCCAUGUAUGGCUCUUUAUGUGAGUGCAUUUAUCAUUGAUUCGUAGAAAAUGAGUGUUGGAAGAGACCUGAGGAGGUCACAUCUAGUUCAACCCCCUGCUCAGAGCAGGACCAGCCCCAACCAUUUCAUUGCUGAACAGGCUUUGUCUAGCCAGGUCUUGAAAACCUCCAAGGAUGGAGCUUCCACCACCUCCCUGGGCAGCCUCUUCCAGUGCUUCACUGCCAUCAUAAUGAGACAGUUUGUCUUACUAUGCAACCUCAACUCCCCUUGCUGCAACUUGAGCUCAUUGCUCCUUGUUCUGUCAUGUGUCACCACUGAGGACAGUCCAGCUCCACCCUCUUUGGGACCACCCUGCAGGGAGCUGAAGGCUGCUGUUCAAUCCUCCCUCAGUCUUCGUCUCUUCUCCAGACUAAAUAAGCCCAGUGCCCCCAGCCUCUCCUCACACAUCAUGUGCUCCAGCCCCUGAAACAUUUUUGCUGCCCGUGACUGGACUCUUGUCCAAUGUGUGUGUGGCAGAAAGCCACCUUUGAUUCUCCCCCAAAAACUCUGCUCUCUGACAAUUUGAGUAGGAUGGGCCUAGCAGAGGAGACACACCUUUACCCUAUCUCUUUAGGUAACCUGAGCUGGAUACAUUCCUGAGGGAGGGGGAAAACCUGCUCCCUCUGCCUACGUGACUGGCAUCACAUACCUGGGUGAG